GACGAACGCUGGCGGCGCGCCUAACACAUGCAAGUCGAACGGAGUGGCGAACGGGUGAGUAACACGUGAAUAACCUGCCCUGGAGUGGGGGACAACAGUUGGAAACGACUGCUAAUACCGCAUACGCUCAGAUGGAUUCGCGUCCAAUUAGCUAGAUGGUGAGGUAACGGCCCACCAUGGCAACGAUUGGUAGCCGGACUGAGAGGUUGAUCGGCCACAUUGGGACUGAGACACGGCCCAGACUCCUACGGGAGGCAGCAGUGGGGAAUAUUGCACAAUGGGGGAAACCCUGAUGCAGCGACGCCGCGUGGAGGAAGAAGGUCUUCGGAUUGUAAACUCCUGUCGUUGGGGACGCGGUACCCAACAAGAAAGCCACGGCUAACUACGUGCCAGCAGCCGCGGUAAAACGUAGGUGGCAAGCGUUGUCCGGAAUUACUGGGUGUAAAGGGAGCGCAGGCGGAAGGACAAGUUGGAAGUGAAACCCACGGGCUCAACCCGUGAACUGCUUUCAAAACUGUUUUUCUUGAGUGGUGUAGAGGUAGGCGGAAUUCCCGGUGUAGCGGUGGAAUGCGUAGAUAUCGGGAGGAACACCAGUGGCGAAGGCGGCCUACUGGGCACUAACUGACGCUGAGGCUCGAAAGCAUGGGUAGCAAACAGGAUUAGAUACCCUGGUAGUCCAUGCCGUAAACGAUGAUUACUAGGUGUGGGACCGUGCCGCAGUUAACACAAUAAUAUCCACCUGGGGAGUACGACCGCAAGGUUGCAACUCAAAGGAAUUGACG
rnacentral:rRNA from 1 species